GCCUGCAUGGCUUAGUGGUAAAGCGUCGCACUCGUAGCAUUGGCUCAAUACCAGUAUGUUAGAAAUGCGAAGACCCCCAGUUCAAUCCUGGGUGUGGGCU